UACGAAGGGGGCUAGCGUUGCUCGGAAUCACUGGGCGUAAAGGGUGCGUAGGCGGGUUUUUAAGUCAGGGGUGAAAUCCUGGAGCUCAACUCCAGAACUGCCUUUGAUACUGAAGAUCUUGAGUCCGGGAGAGGUGAGUGGAACUGCGAGUGUAGAGGUGAAAUUCGUAGAUAUUCGUAAGAACACCAGUGGCGAAGGCGGCUCACUGGCCCGGUACUGACGCUGAGGUGCGAAAGCGUGGGGAGCAAACAGG
rnacentral:rRNA from 1 species